ACGGCUUACAGGGCGAUGAUGCAUAGCCCGAGUUGAGAGACUGAUCGGCCACAUUGGGACUGAGACACGGCCAAAACUCUACGGGGAGGCAGCAGUAGGAAUCUUCCACAUGGACGAAAGUCUGAUGGAGCAACGCCGCGUGAGUGAAGAAGGUUUUCGGAUCGUAAAAGCUCUGUUGUUGGUGAAGAAGGAUAGAGGCAGUAACUGGCCUUUAUUUGACGGUAAUCAACCAGAAGUCACGGCUAACUACGUGCCAGCAGCCGCGGUAAU
rnacentral:rRNA from 1 species